GUCGAUGCGCGGGCUAUACAUGCAGUCGAGCGGACCGGGCGGGAGCUUGCUUCUCGCUUGGUUAGCGGCGGACGGGUGAGUAACACGUGGGUAACCUGCCCGUAAGACCGGGAUAACUCCGGGAAACCGGGGCUAAUACCGGAUAACACCGAAGACCGCAUGGUCUUCGGUUGAAAGGCGGCUUCGGCUGCCACUUACGGAUGGGCCCGCGGCGCAUUAGCUAGUUGGUGAGGUAACGGCUCACCAAGGCGACGAUGCGUAGCCGGCCUGAGAGGGUGACCGGCCACACUGGGACUGAGACACGGCCCAGACUCCUACGGGAGGCAGCAGUAGGGAAUCUUCCGCAAUGGACGAAAGUCUGACGGAGCGACGCCGCGUGAGCGAAGAAGGUCUUCGGAUCGUAAAGCUCUGUUGUUAGGGAAGAAGAAGUGCCGUUCGAACAGGGCGGCGCGGUGACGGUACCUAACGAGAAAGCCCCGGCUAACUACGUGCCAGCAGCCGCGGUAAUACGUAGGGGGCGAGCGUUGUCCGGAAUUAUUGGGCGUAAAGCGCGCGCAGGCGGUCCCUUAAGUCUGAUGUGAAAGCCCACGGCUUAACCGUGGAGGGUCAUUGGAAACUGGGGGACUUGAGUGCAGAAGAGGAGAGCGGAAUUCCACGUGUAGCGGUGAAAUGCGUAGAGAUGUGGAGGAACACCAGUGGCGAAGGCGGCUCUCUGGUCUGUAACUGACGCUGAGGCGCGAAAGCGUGGGGAGCAAACAGGAUUAGAUACCCUGGUAGUCCACGCCGUAAACGAUGAGUGCUAAGUGUUAGAGGGGUUAUUCCCUUUAGUGCUGUAGCUAACGCGUUAAGCACUCCGCCUGGGGAGUACGGCCGCAAGGCUGAAACUCAAAGGAAUUGACGGGGGCCCGCACAAGCGGUGGAGCCAUGUGGUUUAAUUCGAAGCAACGCGAAGAACCUUACCAGGUCUUGACAUCCCCUGACAACCCUGGAGACAGGGCGUUCCUCCCUUGCGGGAGGACAGGGUGACAGGUGGUUGCAUGGUUGUCGUCAGCUCGUGUCGUGGAGAUGUUGGGUUAAGUCCCGCAACGAGCGCAACCCUCGCCCCUAGUUGCCAGCAUUCAGUUGGGCACUCUAGGGGGACUGCCGGCUAAAAGUCGGAGGAAGGUUGGGGAUGACGUCAAAUCAUCAUGCCCCUUAUGACCUGGGCUACACACGUGCUACAAUGGGCGGUACAAAGGGCUGCGAACCCGCGAGGGGGAGCGAAUCCCAAAAAGCCGCUCUCAGUUCGGAUUGCAGGCGCAACUCGCCUGCAUGAAGCCGGAAUCGCUAGUAAUCGUGGAUGCUGCAUGCUCGUCGGUAUUCCG
rnacentral:rRNA from 1 species